GCUGGCGGCGUGGAUAAUACAUGCAAGUCGAGCGAGCGGAACUAACAGAUUUACUUCGGUAAUGACGUUAGGAAAGCGAGCGGCGGAUGGGUGAGUAACACGUGGGGAACCUGCCCCAUAGUCUGGGAUACCACUUGGAAACAGGUGCUAAUACCGGAUAAGAAAGCAGAUCGCAUGAUCAGCUUUUAAAAGGCGGCGUAAGCUGUCGCUAUGGGAUGGCCCCGCGGUGCAUUAGCUAGUUGGUAAGGUAAAGGCUUACCAAGGCGAUGAUGCAUAGCCGAGUUGAGAGACUGAUCGGCCACAUUGGGACUGAGACACGGCCCAAACUCCUACGGGAGGCAGCAGUAGGGAAUCUUCCACAAUGGACGCAAGUCUGAUGGAGCAACGCCGCGUGAGUGAAGAAGGUUUUCGGAUCGUAAAGCUCUGUUGUUGGUGAAGAAGGAUAGAGGUAGUAACUGGCCUUUAUUUGACGGUAAUCAACCAGAAAGUCACGGUUAACUACGUGCCAGCAGCCGCGGUAAUACGUAGGUGGCAAGCGUUGUCCGGAUUUAUUGGCGUAAAGCGAGCGCAGGCGGAAGAAUAAGUCUGAUGUGAAAGCCCUCGGCUUAACCGAGGAACUGCAUCGGAAACUGU
rnacentral:rRNA from 1 species